rnacentral:rRNA from 1 species
UGGGGAAUAUUGCACAAUGGGGGAAACCCUGAUGCAGCGACGCCGCGUGAGCGAAGAAGGCUUUCGAGUCGUAAAGCUCUGUCCUAUGAGAAGAUAAUGACGGUAUCAUAGGAGGAAGCCCUGGCUAAAUACGUGCCAGCAGCCGCGGUAAUACGUAUGGGGCGAGCGUUGUCCGGAAUUAUUGGGCGUAAAGGGUACGUAGGCGGUUUUUUAAGUCAGGUGUCAAAGCGUGGAGCUUAACUCCAUUAAGCACUUGAAACUGAAAGACUUGAGUGAAGGUGAGGAAAGUGGAAUUCCUAGUGUAGCGAUGAAAUGCGUAGAUAUUAGGAGGAAUACCGGUGGCGAAGGCGACUUUCUGGACUUUUACUGACGCUCAGGUACGAAAGCGUGGGGAGCAAACAGG